UGCCAGCCGCCGCGGUAAUACGGAGGGGGCAAGCGUUGUUCGGAAUCACUGGGCGUAAAGCGCACGUAGGCGGAUCGUUAAGUCAGGGGUGAAAUCCCGAGGCUUAACCCCGGAACUGCCUCUAAAACUGGUAAGCUAGAGGAUGCGAGAGGAAAGUGGAAUUCCGAGUGUAGAGGUGAAAUUCGUAGAUAUUCGGAAGAACACCAGUGGCGAAGGCGACUUUCUGGCGCAUAUCUGACGCUGAGGUGCGAAAGCGUGGGGAGCAAACAGGAUUAGAUA
rnacentral:rRNA from 1 species